rnacentral:rRNA from 1 species
CUACGGGAGGCAGCAGUGAGGAAUAUUGGACAAUGGGCGAGAGCCUGAUCCAGCCAUGCCGCGUGCAGGAAGACUGCCCUAUGGGUUGUAAACUGCUUUUACAGAGGAAGAACCACCCCCACGUGUGGGGGUUUGACGGUACUCUGCGAAUAAGGAUCGGCUAACUCCGUGCCAGCAGCCGCGGUAAUACGGAGGAUCCAAGCGUUAUCCGGAAUCAUUGGGUUUAAAGGGUCCGUAGGCGGGCAGUUAAGUCAGUGGUGAAAGUCUUCCGCUCAACGGGAGAACUGCCAUUGAUACUGAUUGUCUUGAGUUAUUAUGAAGUGGUUAGAAUGAGUAGUGUAGCGGUGAAAUGCAUAGAUAUUACUCAGAAUACCGAUUGCGAAGGCAGAUCACUAAUAAUAUACUGACGCUGAUGGACGAAAGCGUAGGUAGCGAACAGGAUUAGAUACCCUGGUAGUCUACGCCGUAAACGAUGGUUACUAGCUGUUCGGCCCAAUUGAGGGCUGAGUGGUUAAGCGAAAGUGAUAAGUAACCCACCUGGGGAGUACGUUCGCAAGAAUGAAACUCAAAGGAAUUGACG